rnacentral:rRNA from 1 species
AUGUGCUUACACGACAUGUCACACUUCUUUGUCAAACCAUAUGCUAUGCUUGAUGACAACACUUGUUGGAUGAAUCACCACUUGAAUGCUUGGUUUGGCUAUAACGCUAACCACAUUCGUUUUUCCAAGUGUUUGUUGUCCUUGCUCCUUUUGAAGGAAUCACAAGACGGUGCAACAUUGGAGAGUGCCCAUUUCGAGCUUCAACAUGAUAAGUGCUUGGUGGUUGUCCACUUCUACACGGCGGCGCCCUCUCUUUCCCAUGGUGAUGAAGUUCACGAUCCGCGGACGGAUCUCUCCCAAGGGGGGAGAUGA